rnacentral:rRNA from 1 species
GACGUAGGAGGCGAGCGUUGUCCGGAUUCAUUGGGCGUAAAGAGCGCGCAGGCGGCUUGGUAAGUCGGAUGUGAAAUCCCGAGGCUCAACCUCGGGUCUGCAUCCGAUACUGCCCGGCUAGAGGUAGGUAGGGGAGAUCGGAAUUCCUGGUGUGAGCGGUGAAAUGACGCAGAUAUCAGGAGGAACACCGGUGGCGAAGGCGGAUCUCUGGUACGUGACUGACGCUGAGACGCGAAAGCGUGGGGAGCGAACAGG